rnacentral:rRNA from 1 species
UAAUACGGAGGGUGCGAGCGUUAAUCGGAAUUACUGGGCGUAAAGCGUGCGUAGGCGGUUUGGUCAGUCAGCCGUGAAAGCCCCGGGCUUAACCUGGGAAUGGCGGUUGAGACGGCUGGACUUGAGUGGGCUAGAGGAUCGUGGAAUUCCGGGUGUAGCGGUGAAAUGCGUAGAGAUCCGGAGGAACACCGAUGGCGAAGGCAGCGGUCUGGGGCCACACUGACGCUGAGGCACGACAGCGUGGGGAGCAAACAGGAUUAGAUACCCUGGUAGUCCACGCGGUAAACGAUGAGCACUAGACGUCGGGCGGGUGACCGUCCGGUGUCGCAGCUAACGCGCUAAGUGCUCCGCCUGGGGAGUACGGCCGCAAGGUUGAAACUUAAAUGAAUUGACGG